AAACAUGUCUUUUUGAGUUAUUUUUAAAGUCUGACCUGCCCACUGAGUAUUUUAAAUGGCCGCAGUAUUCUGACUGUGCAAAGGUAGCAUAANCAUUAGUCUUUUAAUUGAAGGCUGGUAUGAAUGGUUGGACGAAGUAUAUNCUGUUUCAUAUAAAUUUAUAAUUGAAUUUUAUAUUUUAGUUAAAAAGCUAAAAUUUAUUUAAAAGACGAGAAGACCCUAUAAAUCUUUAUAUUUAGUAUUGUUUAAAUUUUUUGGAUUUGUUUUAUUUUUAUUUUAUUAAAUAUUUUGUUGGGGUGAUGUUAAAAUUUAAUAAACUUUUAAUUUAUUUAAGUCAUUAAUUUAUGAUUUGUUGAUCCAUUAAUAAUGAUUAUAAGAUUAAGUUACUUUAGGGAUAACAGCGUAAUUUUUUUGGAGAGUUCAUAUCGAUAAAAAAGUUUGCGACCUCGAUGUUGGAUUAAGAAAUACCUUAGGUGUAGCCGCUUAAGUAACAAGUCUGUUCGACUUUUA
rnacentral:rRNA from 1 species